GACAGAGGGUGCGAACGUUGCUCGGAAUUACUGGGCGUAAAGCGCGUGUAGGCGGGUCGGUAAGUCGGAUGUGAAAUCCCCGGGCUCAACCCGGGAACUGCACCCGAUACUACUGGUCUAGAGUGCCGGAGAGGGUGGCGGAAUUCCUGGUGUAGAGGUGAAAUUCGUAGAUAUCAGGAGGAACACCGGUGGCGAAGGCGGCCACCUGGACGGCUACUGACGCUGAGACGCGAAAGCGUGGGGAGCAAAC
rnacentral:rRNA from 1 species